rnacentral:rRNA from 1 species
GAUGAACGCUGGCGGCGUGCCUAAUACAUGCAAGUCGAGCGAACGGACGAGAAGCUUGCUUCUCUGAUGUUAGCGGCGGACGGGUGAGUAACACGUGGAUAACCUACCUAUAAGACUGGGAUAACUUCGGGAAACCGGAGCUAAUACCGGAUAAUAUUUUGAACCGCAUGGUUCAAAAGUGAAAGACGGUCUUGCUGCCACUUAUAGAUGGAUCCGCGCUGCAUUAGCUAGUUGGUAAGGUAACGGCUUACCAAGGCAACGAUGCAUAGACGACCUGAGAGGGUGAUCGGCCACACUGGAACUGAGACACGGUCCAGACUCCUACGGGAGGCAGCAGUAGGGAAUCUUCCGCAAUGGGCGAAAGCCUGACGGAGCAACGCCGCGUGAGUGAUGAAGGUCUUCGGAUCGUAAAACUCUGUUAUUAGGGAAGAACAUAUGUGUAAGUAACUGUGCACAUCUUGACGGUACCUAAUCAGAAAGCCACGGCUAACUACGUG